CUGGGGGCUGUGGCACUGAGGGAUGUGGUCAGUGGGCAUGGAGCAGGUGGGGUGUGGAUUGGGGAGCUUACAGGAGCACAACACUGCUGGGCAUCACUUGUGUUGUUUGCAGCUUUAAGAACAUGGUUUCAAGACUUGAAUUCAGGGAUGAGACAGAAAGAAAUGUGGCAGAACACAGACAGAGCCGCCUGGGUUGAUGUUAGGGGAAUGUCACAGUGCAUGAGAGUGUUAGGGUUGGGGUCAGACUUAGGCUUUGCAUUCAGGUUAGAGUGAGCUCGGCCUUGGGUUUGAGUUGGGUUUAGAGUUGGGUUCAUAACUUGUUCUAUUGGUAGUAAUGUGAUGCCAGAGACGAGCUGCCAACUUUUAGCUGUGUGUGUGCUAUUAAAGUCUGCGUGUAACGAGAGCCCUGAGGACAGCCCCAAACUGUGCACUGCUCCUGCCCAACUGUGGGUGCAGGGAACACACUGCUGCCCCUGGGAUGAGAGCAGGGGGACCCAGAGCUGCAGGGCAUGCUCAAUUUGGCAGGAGCACAGACUUCAAGAUCAGUAUCUCCCUUCACCAUCUGCCACCUUUCCAUUUGUCUGUGUUUUCAGCAUCAACUGAAGUUCCCUUUGUAUGGCUCCAGCUCGUGUGAUUGAGGAGUUGCUGUAGGAUCAGGUCAUGAGAGACCUUGGGUGGUCACCAAAGGCAGUGGUGGGAUGCUGAAACCGGACAGGAGGUGACUGGCAGUGGUAAGAGACAGAGACAGGAUGCUGGGGAGGGAGCACCUUUUGAGAGCAUUUUCUCAGCAGUAAGAGUUUUGCAAAGGGUGGGGUUUGUGGUAGAAUUAUCUGGAAGACAUCUCUAAUUUUUAUACAUAUAAAGCUCUGUGGAUUUUUAGUUUUGUAUAACACAUAGAAACUAACUACAAAUGUAAAGAAUGUUUUAUUGGACAUCUUUUAGCAUAAGUAAUACUCAAGAAAUAUAACAAAACACAAAGUAUUGAGUUACUUCCCAGAGUCCCAAUGUUUUUAUUCCACAUACAAAGAAACGAAUGAGCCCUGAAGCAGUUUGAGAGGUAAAGGUUAAAUAUUGGGUAUGUAUUCAGCAUUUUAAAACUAAGAAACUGUGGAGCUCUGCAGUCCCUUGUACACAAAGAGCUUGUCAGCACGAGUUGCUGCGAGUGCUGGGAGAUCGGGGCUGGCAGCCCAGAGGAGACGAGCAGGAAGGGUUUGAGCUGAAAAGCAUAAAGAAGAAAAGAGUUAAUCGUGGUCUAUAAAACCAACGUUUCUUGUAUUUGUUCCUUUGGCAUCGCAGUGCCACUCCAAAACAGAGGCCAACUGUUAACAGAGGCAAAGCCAACUUCAUCCUUUGCAGGCUGACGAAUGGUCAUGUAAGUUACCAAAUAACCCAAGACCUCAGGAUUAAACUUCUCCAAUUGUUUUCACAUGAUGCAACUUUAAAUCUCUCUUUUGAACAGUAUUAAAUUUCCUUUCAUUCCCAUAAACUUCAGAAAAAGUUGACUGCUCUCACAUUUCAGACUGUGACCCAGCUAACUUGCACUUUUCCCCUCUGCUAGUCUGGAGAACUGAAUAAUGAAAUUCAGACAACGGUGACCAAAUGUUGCACCAUGGAACUUUCCUUUUACAAAACAGAUGAAUGUUCCUGGGCUCCAAAACACUGCAGGGAACAAAACUUUCAAACCUUAUGGAAAUAAAAUAGUAAGCCUAUGCAGUGACUUCAUCUCCUUUAUCAGAUCAGAGACGUUUUUGCUGGAAUUGAAAUGGAUUAGAAAAAACCCUCUAAGUAGAGGAAAAGAAUUAAAAUAUCCCACUGAAGCCAUUACUGAAAUACUGCUUUAUUUCAGAAAACACACCCACGUGAGUGAACUUGAAUUUCACAGAGAAGAAAAACUGCCACAUCAUCAUCGUUCACAGAAUUCACGUUGCAGAUAGAAAUGUGCUACGGUCAGUCAGGAAAAUAAAUAUUUCAGUGUUUGUGAUCAAAGGAAAAGAUAAGCCCGUGUGCUGUGUGUUCUGAUCCUGGCAGAGGGCUGUAGAAAAUGACCACAGAUAUGUGGCUGAUGUGAGGGCUGGGAUUUCUCUCUGGAGAUGCAGAGGGCUCUCGGAUCUCCUGGAAACCCGAACAAGUUUGUCCAUCCAGCACCUCACCAGAUGAGGUCCUUUAUUUAUACAAUGAGAAAUACCCACUGCGCUGCGGAUUUGUUGCUGUGUGAGUGGGAUUGCAGUCAUUUAAGCCCAUUGCAAAUGAAGCCACUAGAGUCAAAAUAAAAGGAGCCAAAAUAUAUAAAUCCAGCAGACAAAGUUUAUGGGGGAACUAAACCAAACAUUCAACGUGGAGAUUUAGUGCAGCCCAACUGUUGUAACUAAACAGGGUACCUGACAUCAUUUUGUGUCCUACGGGCACGGUCCCCAUUUUAGUGGCCUGUUACGCUCAUGCUGAUAUCAAUAAAAGUUUUACAUGCAAAAUGAGUGGAAAAUACGAGAUGUUAGAUAGUACAGUACAAGUCUAUAAAGCUGAUACCCCUAUCACGCUUUUGGCAACCCCAGCCAACUUCCAUGCAAAUUCCACCAAUGGAUCUUUACUGAUUUUGUCUUAAUUGAAAGCCUUAAAGGUGAAUUGAAAUGUUGUUGGAAUAAAAACCUGUUUAAGAUGCCAAAUCCCUAACAAAAUCCCAGUGCAGGCUUACAAGUAAAUAAAUUGUAAAGGCAAAUGUGCAGGCCUUCUUAUUAACCUGUCAAACCACGAAUUCUGGAGUCUGUUCUUCUCUUGCAAAAUUUGUGACAUUCUUCUCCCCCUAAUGACUGGAGUAUUUUACUGCUUUGUGGGCCUGGCAACAAAGAUGACAUUGUUUAGGAAGGUGGUGAAAUCUGCCUUGCUCAUGGUGAUGACUGGGGGACCACUUCCCCAUUAAUUUAUGUGGAGAAUUGGGAGGUACAGACCGGAUGCCGUGGCCUUUCCUGGCAGUGCUGCUCACUACAUGUUGGGCUGGGGCGGCCCGUGAGGUCGUCUGAUGUGGUGUGAAGUCGUGGUUGGAGGCAGCUGAGUGCGAGGGUAGUUCUGUUUUCCAAACUAUUGCUUUAAUGACCUCCUCCCUGAAUUCAAUUGUUGAGGACUAGGUCAAGUGAUUCCUCUUGCAAAAAGAAACAAACUUUGUAAGAGAAACUGUGGGCCCUCUGACAGUAAGGGCCUUCACCUGACAUAUUUUGCACAAGUAUAACCUGGUCAUACCCAAACUAAACUCGAUCCAUUUCCUUUUUUUGGAGACUCACUUCUCAUGGUAAUGAGGAAAUCGAGAUGAAACAAUUGCAAUGCUUUCCUACUGAAAGAUCCCUACAAAGCUCAGCAACUGCAGUGUGAAUCACCAGCUGUGGGACUUGGAAGCAUCACUGCUGCUCCUGUUGCCUGUCCUGCUCUGCACCUCGUCUGGUUGUUGAAUUAAUGCUUUGGAAGAGAUACUGAAUCUGAUGAAACGUGGUGUAAACAUGCAGUUAUGAAAAUAAUAACAGAAAUAAUGGAUAAUAAGCAUCCCCAUGUUUGCAUGUGUUAUUAAGUAGUCACUGGUGUUUCUGUCCCAUUCUAUCACCCUUGUUCUUCCAGAAGGGUAACAUUACAUGUUUCGGAGCUAUGUAAUUCAAGAAUAUAAAGAACAGAGUCCUUCUGCUAUAUAUAUAAAAUUCCAACAUAGUACACAUAUGAAAGGCAAAGAAUUGUGGUCUGUUUCAAGGCUUUUGCCUUUAUCUUUUCCAUUGCCUGCUGCCAAUUUUCAAAGUACUACCAGAUCACAGACGGAGCUAGAUUAUCUGAACAAGAACUCAGCCUCCCGGUCCUCCCUGCUACCACUCCCCAGGGAUACAGCCUGCCCUCUGACCCCCAGCAAUGCUCUCUCCCACUGCCACCUAUGGCUCCCCAGUCCUUUGCUUUCCUCUUCAGGCAAAGACAUUUCAGCUUGAGAAGGAAGCAGAGCUGUGCACACUGGCACCAGCACGCCUACCUACUCCUUGGCUUUCUUGGUCCCCAAAUGGAGGGAGGCCCCGGAGGGGCUGUGCUUCCCCCCUCCUACAGACACACUGAAAUACAUCAUUAUUUGGACUGCACUCGCUCCAGAAAACUCAGCUGGGAAAUGAAGGAUGUGCUCAUUGAGACAACGUCAGCGCUGCUGUCGGACACAAUUCCCACCCUAAAGAAUUGUCAGCGUAAGCACAGAGAUUUGUUAGUCUCCAGUACUCAAUAAGUACCACCAAUUGCUGUUUCCUACACCAUUUAAAGAUCAGUGGUGAGCUCAGAUUUAAAUGGGGACUUUCCAUGGGUGUGUGGAUUCUAGGAAUCUGUGCAGAGCCUGGCCUUGUCUUCAGCUUCCACUCUGGAAGCCUCGCUGGGCUCUGAUUCUAGUUGCAUUUCAAGUGGGCAGAGGAUGAUUGUUAUGGCCUCGGUGGUUGAAAUGAGAGAGAUCUGGAAUAGAUUAAUGGGAGUAUGAGAGAUGGAAGGGAACACAAGAACUUUCUUAUAAUGUGACACAAUACUUAAGAACACACACUGUCGAGUCUCUCUCUUAGCUUGCUGUACUUCUGACACUUCUCUUAGAAUAUUUUGCUUAUCAUCCUCUUGUUAAGUUUAUUGUACUUAAAAAUCAUUCCCAGACAGCCAGCUUCUUAGAUAUCUUUUCAUUAAAAAAAAAAAAAAAGAAUAAAAAGGUUUUGUGUGUAAUACACUUUCCCUGCAGGAACCGAUUCCUCAGUGAUGCUGACUACAAGCCUCUCCUUGUUUUAAAACACACAGCCAUGCAUCAAGCAGCGGGCUCUUCUCCCCAAAGCCACUUCCUGAACCUCUAUCUGUGCAUCACAUCUCUGCAGUAUCCUGCAAACCAUGUAGGAGAAACUGCCUCUAAUUUGUCCACCCACCUCACCGUGUGCAAUUACCUCGACUAUUUUUGCCAUCAGAUCCUUACAAAUACUCUGCAUUAUUCUUUUUGGGGUGUUCAGGGCUAUGUCCGCUCUGGUUCCUUUGUUUAAUGUAUUUUUAGUUCUUCCACUGCGGUAUGACAGAGUGCAGCAUGUUCAAGGAAAAGUAGGGAGAAUAUUUGUAUUGAUUUCAAAAUGCUGCAGAUUAAGAGCAGAUGUAGUAUGUAUUCCCCAAACGUAUGUUUUAACUUUCAUUUAUGUGCUGUGCUGAACAGUCUUCAAGCCAGGAAGUGAUUUAUAUUCGCUAAUUGCAUGCACUUUGGUAGAUUUGUAGCUAAAAAUAAGUGGUUUGUUUUUUAAUUACAAACGAUUUAUCCUUUCACGGUGCCUGUAUCUAACGUCAAGAAGCAAACCAAAGACUUGGGGAAUCUAUGCGCAGUCUCCUGAUCUGCCAUAGACUUCCAUGGUAUCCCUAGGCACUGGCCAUAGGUUAUCCCUGGGCUCAGGUGACCCCAGCAGCUGUGGGGACUGGCCCACGAGGCUGAGCUGGAGGAACACUGCUCUCUUUUGUCCCAUCAGAGGAUGUUUUCCACAUGAUCGGUGGCUGAGUGGACUUGCUGCAAUGAGCAUAUGGAAAGCAGAGAUUUGUUUAUUGUGGUCAACUUGCUGUUAGUUAGAUCAGCUCAGAAAUAACUUGAAACGUCACCCUAGAGGGCCAGGGCAAGUGAGCCCAGGCUGGUGUUGCAGAAAUCCUAUCCCAGCUGUACAGCCUGACCUUCUCACUGACAUUUCCUCUGUAACUACAUGGUAAGUGUUGGGGCCCUGAGGGCUCUUGCGGGUCUUGAUGGCCCUGACUGGGCUUACCUGGGGCCUGCCCCACACCCCAUUGCCUAGGGACUCUUGAGUCCAGCCAUGGGCUCUCAGCCCCUAUUUGUGCUAUUUACAGGAAUACUUGUCUGUAACGUAACCUCAGCUAUGACUGGUUGUGGGCCCUGCUGGUUUCUGGAAGGAAUUCCUUACUUGAACUCAAACCUCUCUAACCACUACAGACCUGUCUGACUGGACCAUCAUCACUGGACCUGGCCCUCACCUGUGGCACACUCUGUUCCCUGUCCUUUAAGGAUUAAGGAGCAAGAAUAAGUGCUAAAGUUCUAAAGAACCACCCAGAAAGGUGGGUCGAGGUCCUAAACAGGGAGAAACUUCUCUGCUCUAAGGAGGUAACUGUCAGCUUAGCUCUUGAACCAUCUCAGCUCCUGGUUCUUUGUGUCAGAAGCCAAUUGAGAGGCCUCCAUCUCCUUCCCUAACACACAGCCAGGCGCUUAUCUGGGUUUGGUCCUCCUGGGGCUCUGUUAGCGUCUGAUGAGAAACACGAGAUUCAUAUGGCAGAAAGCAAACCUGGGGGGAUGAGGGGGGUGGCAGGAAUUGUGAUUCAGCAGGAAACAAGGAGAAAAUUCUUUUAAUCCUGUCCUUGUUCCCAUUCUGCCUAUUAACUUCUUGUUAAAUAGAUUCUGACUUCCAAAAUCCUACCCCCAACCUAAGAGUCCUGGGUAUGCGAUCAUUCUGAACGGUGAGCAGCUGUCACUGAUGGUUCUUUGGCAGUGCCCCUCUGACCACAAGCAUGGCACAACGGACACGAAGCGGUGCUUGGGGCGGCAGAGAGGAUGGGCCUUGCAGAUAAUGAGUGUGUCAAACGUUGAUUUCACUGUGGGAUGAAAAGAGUUCUUCAGGUGCCAGGUGGGCUUCCGAGCUCCUGACUGACAGGAAGAGGAGAUGCACAGCGAGUUUUAAGCUCGCUGAGGGGAAAAUUAGAAACCUCUCCACCUGUGUGUGAAGGGCAGCUGAGAGAUCACUUCCCUGGACUGUGAGCUCAUGGUUUCUUCGCCUCAUUUCAAUGGAAAUGAUCUUAAAAGUAAAGUGGUGCAGCCAAAGGGUACACUUUGGGAAACUCUGGCGCACAGGACAGGCAGAGGCAGAAGCAGACA